rnacentral:rRNA from 1 species
AGCUCCAAUAGUAUAUAUUAGUGUUGUUGCAGUUAAAACGCUCGUAGUUGGAUUUUGGGAGGGUUUGUGUGGUCCGCCGCAAGGUGUGUUACUGCGUGGAUUCUUCUUCCUUCUGAAGACGUGGCAUGCUCUUCAUCGGGUGUGUCAUUUGAUUCAGAAUUUUUACUUUGAAUAAAUAAGAGUGUUCAAAGCAGGCUUUCGCUUGAAUACAUUAGCAUGGAAUAAUGAAAUAGGACUUUGGUUCUAUUUUGUUGGUUUCUAGGACCGAAGUAAUGAUUAAUAGGGAUAGUUGGGGCCAUUAGUAUUUAAUUGUCAGAGGUGAAAUUCUUGGAUUUAUGAAAGACUAACUUCUGCGAAAGCAUUUGGCAAGGAUGUUUUCAUUA